rnacentral:rRNA from 1 species
UACGUAGGGGGCGAGCGUUGUCCGGAUUUAUUGGGCGUAAAGAGCUCGUAGGCGGUUUGGCAAGUCGGGUGUGAAAACUCCGGGCUCAACUCGGAGACGCCACUCGAUACUGCCAUGACUUGAGUCCGGUAGGGGAGUGCGGAAUUCCUGGUGUAGCGGUGAAAUGCGCAGAUAUCAGGAGGAACACCGGUGGCGAAGGCGGCACUCUGGGCCGGUACUGACGCUGAGGAGCGAAAGCGUGGGGAGCAAACAGG